AAUCAUAUCACUGACACGCUUCAACUGUCCAAUAAAAACAUCCGAAAGCAUGGGCAUCUUCUGUUCAGCGUAGGUGGGCUUUAAAGAGCUCACGACAGCAAAACUAACUUCCUUUCCAUACUAAUACUAAUAAUAAUACCAAAUAAUAUAAUCUAAUUAUGUUUUAUUAUUAUUAUACAAGUAAAUUGUUUUUUUAUAACGGAGCAAGUAUCUUAAAGAAACGAGUGGAAGUCUGUCAAAUUCUUGGAUUUUCAUCCCAAAGAUCUCAGAGAAUGAACCUGGAGAUAGGUGGCGCUGUGAAAAACAAAGCAGGUAAGAACAAAAAAGUAAGAUCACAAAGAAGAAAGCUGUAGAUAAAAUGAUGCCCAUGUUCUGCAUCAUCACACUGUUGUUUAUCUGCUUUGUGUUUCAGUGUCAUGGGAAGAUUCAAAGCUGUUGGUGAAUGACCUCAAUGCUGACAGCCAAAGAUAAAGUAUUUGAUCUUUAUAAAUACCAUAUUUCCCAAAGUGUUAUACUGCAUGUCUUUACACACACAUGAACUUUGAGGACAUUGUAAUUUUUCAUACAAAAUCUUUAAUAUUAUGUUGUCCCACCCUCUGCAGCUACAUUGGCUUCAGUUCCUCUGGGAAGACUGUCUACAAGGUUUAGGAGUGUUUAUGGGUAUAUUAUGACCAUUCUUCCAGGAGAGCAUUAGUGGGGUCAGACACUGAUGUUGGAUGAGAGGGCCUGUCACUCAGUCUUUGCUCUGACUCAUCCCAAAGGUGUUCCUUUCCAACUCGGGCUCUUAGGACACCUGAAUUCAGUGUUAUGGAGGGAUGACCCAAUACUUUUGGCAAUACGGUGUAUCCUGCAAAUAUGUACCACUGCCACAGAAUUUAG